AAAGAGAGUCUCUAUGCCCACUUCCGAUAAUUCACCUAAAGCCUAACAAAAAGUUAAAUAAAAACAUCAACCUAAAAACCCAAGCCCACUUCCGAUAAUCUCUAUGCCCAGUCACUAAAAGAGAGUCUCUCCAUCUACUCUGAAGACUUAAAACAUCUAUUACCCUCUCCAAUCUACCCAUUCUUCUUCCAUCUGAUUCACUUGCCCUCAGCUUUGCUUCCGGCCACCAAUCAUCCAGUCAAGCAUCAUGAAAAUUAAGACCCCAAUGAAAGGAAGAGUUAAAAGGGAAUUAGAUAAACGAGCCCCAAAGCUCGUGGAAACAGGGAAGAAAACACUGAUACUUCAAGGAACAAAGACGAGCGGCACAUUGAAUAGUGUUUUGAGUGAAAUUUACCAUUUAAAAAAAGGUGGAGCUGUGAGGUAUACAAGGAAGAAUGAUAAUAUAAGGCCAUUUGAAAGUGGGGGUGAAACUUCUUUAGAGUUCUUUUCUCUCAAAACUGAUUGAAGUAUCUUUGUUCUAAGUAAUCGAAUCAAAAUCCUAAAGCUUCAUUCUUUUUUUCUCAUUGAUUUCAACUAUUUUUGUUGUUUUAAUUUGGGGUUAAAAUAUGCCAUAGGUACUUGUAUUUUUCAGAUUUCAGAAUUUAUGUUUAACUCUUAACAUUGUUAAGAUUAUUUUAUUAAAUUUAAGUUAUUACGAAGUUAUUGUUUUA